AUCCAAGGAAGGCAGCAGGCGCGCAAAUUACACAAUUCCGACACGGAGAUGUAGUGACAAUAAAUACUGAUACAGGGCUCUUUUGGGUCUUGUAAUUGGAAUGAGUACAAUUUAAAUCCCUUAACGAGGAACAAUUGGAGGGCAAGUCUGGUGCCAGCAGCCGCGGUAAUUCCAGCUCCAAUAGCGUAUAUUAAAGUUGUUGUGGUUAAAAAGCUCGUAGUUGAACCUUGGGCCUGGCUGGCCGGUCCGCCUCACCGCGAGAACUGGUCCGGCCGGGCCUUUCCCUCUGUGGAACCCCAUGCCCUUCACUGGGCGUGGCGGGGAAACAGGACUUUUACUUUGAAAAAAUUAGAGUGCUCCAGGCAGGCCUAUGCUCGAAUACAUUAGCAUGGAAUAAUGAAAUAGGACGCGUGGUUCUAUUUUGUUGGUUUCUAGGACCGCCGUAAUGAUUAAUAGGGACAGUCGGGGGCAUCAGUAUUCAAUUGUCAGAGGUGAAAUUCUUGGAUUUAUUGAAGACUAACUACUGCGAAAGCAUUUGCCAAGGAUGUUUUCAUUAAUCAGGAACGAAAGUUAGGGGAUCGAAGACGAUCAGAUACCGUCGUAGUCUUAACCAUAAACUAUGCCGACUAGGGAUCGGACGAUGUUA
rnacentral:rRNA from 1 species